AUGUUGAAAUGGCCAUGAUGAUGCAAGAAUGUGUUUUUAAAAACAAUAAUGUGAUUGAAAUUCAUCUGAUGGUGGACUAAACAUUCAGGUUUCAGGACAUUCUUCUAGACUAUAGCUAGCUCAAAGUAUAUUGGCUGAAUGAAGGAUUACCUGGUAGUCUGCCAAUGGGUUGAUCAUUGGAUGAGCCAGACACCAACCAUUUACCACAGAAGUUUUAGUGGAGACAAACAUAAACACUCUUUCUCAAUCUUCAUUCAUGACUUGUUUCUCACUAUGGAUUCUGAGUCAUUACUUCUUUUUUCAAAAGCAUGGACACCAGCAGCAUUGGGCACUCAAUUUUCAUAAUCAUUUAUUCUUCUAAAUUUGAUCUGAUAUCUUUAAAUAAAGGAAAGACAAUUCAUUAAUCAUUUGCAAUAUUUCCUGUAAUCUCACUAAAUGUGUUUAAAGUUUGAAGCAAUUCUAUUUGAUAAUUUUAAAAAAAACAUAUACCUGUAUCUAGCUGUUAAACAAGCAGUAAUAAAAUUUUGAAAACAAUUAUCUGAGUAUGAUUAAUUACUUUGCCCAUUUCAGACAGGUAGCUUACAAAAACUGAUUGACAUCUACUGUGGAAUCAUCAUUGUUUGUGGGGGACCAACAUUCUUGGAUUUUAUCA